rnacentral:rRNA from 1 species
GAUAAACGCUGGCAGCGUGCCUAACACAUGCAAGUCGAACGCCCUUUUGCGCAAGUGAGAGGGAGUGGCGGACGGGUGAGUAACACGUGGGUACCUACCUUGAGGUGAGGAAUACCACCGAGAAAUCGGUGACAAGACCGCAUACGCUUGGCAACAAGCAAAGUCUCGCAAGAGACGCCACAAGAUGGGCCUGCGCCUGAUUAGCUAGUUGGUGAGGUAACAGCUCACCAAGGCGACGAUCAGUAGCUGGUCUGAGAGGAUGAUCAGCCACACUGGGAUUGAGAACGGCCCAGACUCC